UUUGCCUACGGGGCGCAGCAGUGAGGAAUAUUGGUCAAUGGGCGGGAGCCGAACCAGCCAAGUCGCGUGAGGGAUGACGGCCCUAUGGGUUGUAAACCUCUUUUGCCGGGGAGCAAAGUGCCGCACGUGUGCGGUUUGGAGAGUACCCGGAGAAAAAGCAUCGGCUAACUCCGUGCCAGCAGCCGCGGUAAUACGGAGGAUGCGAGCGUUAUCCGGAUUUAUUGGGUUUAAAGGGUGCGUAGGCGGAAUGCCAAGUCAGCGGUAAAAUCGCGGGGCUCAACCUCGCUCCGCCGUUGAAACUGGCG
rnacentral:rRNA from 1 species